rnacentral:rRNA from 1 species
UACAGAGGUCUCAAGCGUUUGUUCGGAUUCAUUGGGCGUAAAGGGUGCGUAGGUGGCGCCGUAAGUGGGGUGUGAAAUUUCGGAGCUUAACUCCGAAACUGCAUUCCAUACUGCGGUGCUUGAGGACUGGAGAGGAGACUGGAAUUCAUGGUGUAGCAGUGAAAUGCGUAGAGAUCAUGAGGAAGACCAGUGGCGAAGGCGGGUCUCUGGACAGUUCCUGACACUGAGGCACGAAGGCCCAGGGGAGCAAACGGG